GACGAACCGUCUGAACGUUAUUCGGAAUCACUGGGCAUAAAGGGCGCGUAGGCGGACUGCCAAGUCAAGGGUGAAAUCCUCCGACUCAAUCGGAGAACUGCCUUUGAUACUGGUGGUCUCGAGGGAGGUAGGGGCGUGUGGAACUAAGGGUGGAGCGGUGAAAUGCGUUGAUAUCCUUAGGAACUCCGGUGGCGAAGGCGACACGCUGGACCUUUGCUGACGCUGAGGCGCGAAAGCCAGGGGAGCAAACGGG
rnacentral:rRNA from 1 species